UCCAUACGUCUGAUUUUAUUAUUUGGGAGCGGAUCAAAUCGGCGGCUCGAGCGGCGGCGGCGGCGGCUCGAGCUUGCAGGGGCUAGGGGCAGAUCCGGAGGCCGGGGUCGCCGGUGACGACGAGGAAGGCGGAGCACGGGCGGAUCCAUGGCAUCCGCGGCUCCUGGGCAGAAAGGAGACAGGGAGGCCAGGGAGAGAAGAAGGAAGAAAGGAGGGGUUGUGCGGCGACCUAGAGAGGAGCUCGCCGGAGCUGGGCGAAGGCGGACUGGCGCGGGAGACGGAGGGGUCCGGCGCGGCGGCGCGAAGUCCUUGCAGGUGCAGGCAGGCGUCGAAGCAGAGGACGAGAGGAUCCCCUGAUCCAUCCCCUCCUACCCAUCCAGCCCUUCCUCGAUGGCCCACGUGCGACGAGCCCCUACGCGGGGUAAGAAGGGGGAUCACACGAGGUGGAGCACUCCAGCCCCCUCCUAGCCCUACCACGAUAAACUAUUGUUCACUAAACUGAGCAGCUAGCUACUGGUGUCUCAAAGAUUAAGCGCAGAAAUUUGUUGAAGCUAAAGAUGAAGAGGAACUCGUGGAAGAGGAAAAGAAAUGCCAUGGUAGAAAUUCAUUCACACAUAUCAGGGUCAUAGUGAGAGGAUUGAUCUGCUUGAUUCGCUCCUGAUGGUCGGUGGAUUGUUUCUGGUAAGGCUAAGAGUUCUGUGAAGGUAAGAUUUUGAUCCAACCUAUUAAGCAGUACCACACAAAUUACAGGAGAAUCUGUUGUUUGGUCCAACUUAUAAAGGUGCCAUAUAUGCUCAGUUGCUCACAACAGUGCUAAUAUUAACAAGGUGAAUAAACUCACGCUCUAGCGGAAGAUAUCCUUUAUAUUUUUGGGGUCACUGAUACCUGUACAAAAACAUAAGAUGUGUUCCUAGAUAACAUCUUUCCUCCAAAAUAAUUUAUAUAUCAUCUAGACUUGGUUAGUUGUAACUUUUGCUUUCUAUUCUUUCCACAAGCUUCUGUAGGUUCAAAUGACAAUUGUUAAAUUUUGGGACCUUAAGACUUUUUAGUUGAUUGCAUCCUCUAGACCGGGAGGUAUAAUAGCAUAUCCUAAUUGUCUAAUUGAUGAUUCAGAAAGCUCUGGCUCUACUCAUGUAUAUCAGUUUAUAUUCAGAUUGUGAAGUACUCCUUCUAUAAAGAAAUAUAAGAGAGUUUAGUUCUAUAAAACAUAUUUAUAUGCAGUUAUC